rnacentral:rRNA from 1 species
UACGUAGGGUGCGAGCGUUGUCCGGAAUUACUGGGCGUAAAGAGCUCGUAGGUGGUUUGUCGCGUUGUUCGUGAAAUCUCACGGCUUAACUGUGAGCGUGCGGGCGAUACGGGCAGACUGGAGUACUGCAGGGGAGACUGGAAUUCCUGGUGUAGCGGUGAAAUGCGCAGAUAUCAGGAGGAACACCGAUGGCGAAGGCAGGUCUCUGGGCAGUAACUGACGCUGAGGAGCGAAAGCGUGGGGAGCGAACAGG